UACGUAGGGUGCAAGCGUUGUCCGGAAUUAUUGGGCGUAAAGAGCUCGUAGGCGGUUUGUCGCGUCGGCUGUGAAAGCCCGGAGCUCAACUCCGGGUCUGCAGUCGAUACGGGCAGACUUGAGUGUUGCAGGGGAGACUGGAAUUCCUGGUGUAGUGGUGAAAUGCGUAGAGAUCGGGAGGAACACCAGUGGCGAAGGCGGCCGGCUGGGGGGUGACCUGACGCUGAGGCGCGAAAGCGUGGGGAGCGAACCGGG
rnacentral:rRNA from 1 species